rnacentral:rRNA from 1 species
UACGUAGGGUGCAGGCGUUAAUCGGAAUUACUGGGCGUAAAGCGUGCGCAGGCGGUUUCUUAAGUCAGAUGUGAAAGCCCCGGGCUUAACCUGGGAACUGCGUUUGAAACUGGGAGACUUGAAUCUGGCAGAGGGGGGUGGAAUGCCACGUGUAGCAGUGAAAUGCGUAGAGAUGUGGCGGAACACCGAUGGCGAAGGCAGCCCCCUGGGCCAAGAUUGACGCUCAGGCACGAAAGCGUGGGAGCAAACAGG